UACGAAGGGGGGCGAGCGUUGUUCGGAUUUACUGGGCGUAAAGGGCGCGCAGGCGGCUCAUUUUGUCAGGCGUGAAAGCCCCGGGCUUAACCUGGGAACUGCGUUUGAUACGGAUGGGCUAGAGUUCGGGAGAGGAGAGUGGAAUUCCCAGUGUAGAGGUGAAAUUCGUAGAUAUUGGGUGGAACACCGGUGGCGAAAGCGGCUCUCUGGCCCGGAUCUGACGCUGAGGCGCGAAAGCGUGGGGAGCAAACAGG
rnacentral:rRNA from 1 species